UACGUAGGGGGCUAGCGUUAUCCGGAAUUACUGGGCGUAAAGUGUGCGUAGGUGGUUUCUUAAGUCAGAGGUGAAAGGCUACGGCUCAACCGUAGUAAGCCUUUGAAACUGGGAAACUUGAGUGCAGGAGAGGAGAGUGGAAUUCCUAGUGUAGCGGUGAAAUGCGUAGAUAUUAGGAGGAACACCAGUUGCGAAGGCGGCUCUCUGGACUGUAACUGACACUGAGGCACGAAAGCGUGGGGAGCAAACAGG
rnacentral:rRNA from 1 species